AAUUAAAGAAGCUUUGAACCACAAGGGGAAAGGAGGCGCUAAGACUCUUAUGAACACUAUUAUGCAGUUGAGAAAAAUCUGCAACCACCCAUAUAUGUUUCAGCACAUUGAGGAAUCCUUUGCUGAACACCUAGGCUAUUCAAAUGGGGUCAUCAAUGGGGCUGAACUGUAUCGGGCCUCAGGAAAGUUUGAGCUACUUGAUCGUAUUCUGCCAAAAUUGAGAGCGACUAAUCACCGAGUGCUGCUUUUCUGCCAGAUGACAUCUCUCAUGACCAUCAUGGAGGAUUAUUUUGCUUUUCGGAACUUCCUUUACCUACGCCUUGAUGGCACCACCAAGUCUGAAGAUCGUGCUGCUUUGCUGAAGAAAUUCAAUGAACCUGGAUCCCAGUAUUUCAUUUUCUUACUGAGCACAAGAGCUGGUGGCCUGGGCUUAAAUCUUCAGGCAGCUGAUACAGUGGUCAUCUUUGACAGCGACUGGAAUCCUCAUCAGGAUCUGCAGGCCCAAGACCGAGCUCACCGCAUCGGGCAGCAGAAUGAGGUCCGGGUGCUGAGGCUCUGUACCGUGAACAGCGUGGAGGAAAAGAUCCUCGCGGCCGCAAAAUACAAGCUGAACGUGGAUCAGAAAGUGAUCCAGGCAGGCAUGUUUGACCAAAAGUCUUCAAGCCACGAGCGGAGGGCAUUCCUGCAGGCCAUCUUGGAGCAUGAAGAGGAAAAUGAGGAAGAAGAUGAAGUACCGGACGAUGAGACUCUGAACCAAAUGAUUGCUCGACGAGAAGAAGAAUUUGACCUUUUUAUGCGGAUGGACAUGGACCGGCGGAGGGAAGAUGCCCGGAACCCGAAACGCAAGCCCCGCUUAAUGGAGGAAGAUGAGCUGCCCUCCUGGAUCAUUAAGGAUGACGCUGAAGUAGAAAGGCUCACCUGUGAAGAAGAGGAGGAGAAAAUAUUUGGGAGGGGGUCUCGCCAGCGCCGUGACGUGGACUACAGUGACGCCCUCACGGAGAAGCAGUGGCUAAGGGCGAUUGAAGACGGCAAUUUGGAGGAAAUGGAAGAGGAAGUACGGCUUAAGAAGCGAAAAAGACGAAGAAAUGUGGAUAAAGAUCCUGCGAAAGAAGAUGUGGAAAAAGCUAAGAAGAGAAGAGGCCGCCCUCCCGCUGAGAAACUGUCACCAAACCCCCCCAAACUGACAAAGCAGAUGAAUGCUAUCAUCGAUACUGUGAUAAACUACAAAGAUAGGUGUAACGUGGAGAAGGUGCCCAGUAAUUCUCAGUUGGAAAUAGAAGGAAACAGUUCAGGGCGACAGCUCAGUGAAGUCUUCAUUCAGUUACCUUCAAGGAAAGAAUUACCAGAAUACUAUGAAUUAAUUAGGAAGCCAGUGGAUUUCAAAAAAAUAAAGGAAAGGAUUCGUAAUCAUAAGUAUCGGAGCCUGGGCGACCUGGAGAAGGAUGUCAUGCUUCUCUGUCACAACGCUCAGACGUUCAACCUGGAGGGAUCCCAGAUCUAUGAAGACUCCAUCGUCUUACAGUCAGUGUUUAAGAGUGCCCGGCAGAAAAUUGCCAAAGAGGAAGAGAGUGAGGAUGAAAGCAAUGAAGAGGAGGAAGAGGAAGAUGAAGAAGAGUCAGAGUCCGAGGCAAAAUCAGUCAAGGUGAAAAUUAAGCUCAAUAAAAAAGAUGAGAAAGGCCGGGACAAAGGAAAAGGCAAGAAAAGGCCAAAUCGAGGAAAAGCCAAACCUGUAGUGAGCGAUUUUGACAGCGAUGAGGAGCAGGAUGAACGUGAACAGUCAGAAGGAAGUGGGACGGAUGAUGAGUGAUCAAUACGGACCUUUUUCCUUGGUAGACCUGAAUUCCUUCCUUCCCUGUCUCAUUUCUACCCAGUGAGUUCAUUUGUCAUAUAGGCACUGGGUUGUUUCUAUAUCAUCAUCGUCUAUAAACUAGGAUAGUGCCAGACAAACAUAUGAUAUCAUGGUGUAAAAAACACACACAUACACAAAUAUUUGUAACAUAUUGUGACCAAAUGGGCCUCAAAGAUUCAGAUUGAAACAAAAAGCUUUUGAUGGAAAAUAUGUGGGUGGAUAGUAUAUUUCUAUGGGUGGGUCUAAUUUGGUAACGGUUUGAUUGUGCCUGGUUUUAUCACCUGUUCAGAUGAGAAGAUUUUUGUCUUUUGUAGCACUGAUAACCAGGAGAAGCCAUUAAAAGCCACUGGUUAUUUUAUUUUUCAUCAGGCAAUUUUCGAGGUUUUUAUUUGUUCGGUAUUGUUUUUUUACACUGUGGUACAUAUAAGCAACUUUAAUAGGUGAUAAAUGUACAGUAGUUAGAUUUCACCUGCAUAUACAUUUUUCCAUUUUAUGCUCUAUGAUCUGAACAAAAGCUUUUUGAAUUGUAUAAGAUUUAUGUCUACUGUAAACAUUGCUUAAUUUUUUUGCUCUUGAUUUAAAAAAAAGUUUUGUUGAAAGCGCUAUUGAAUAUUGCAAUCUAUAUAGUGUAUUGGAUGGCUUCUUUUGUCACCCUGAUCUCCUAUGUUACCAAUGUGUAUCGUCUCCUUCUCCCUAAAGUGUACUUAAUCUUUGCUUUCUUUGCACAAUGUCUUUGGUUGCAAGUCAUAAGCCUGAGGCAAAUAAAAUUCCAGUAAUUUCGAAGAAUGUGGUGUUGGUGCUUUCCUAAUAAAGAGA
rnacentral:sRNA from 1 species